rnacentral:rRNA from 1 species
GACGAACGCUGGCGGCGUGCUUAACACAUGCAAGUCGAACGGAAAGGCCCUGCUUUUGUGGGGUGCUCGAGUGCGAACGGGUGAGUAACACGUGAGUAACCUGCUCUUGACUUUGGGAUAACUUCAGGAAACUGGGGCUACUACCGGAUAGGAGCUCCUGCUGCAUGGUGGGGGUUGGAAAGUUUCGGCGGUUGGGGAUGGACUCGCGGCUUAUCAGCUUGUUGGUGGGGUAGUGGCUUACCAAGGCUUUGACGGGUAGCCGGCCUGAGAGGGUGAACGGCCACAUUGGGACUGAGAUACGGCCCAGAAUCCUACGGGAGGCAGCAGUGGGGAAUAUUGCACAAUGGGCGGAAGCCUGAUGCAGCAACGCCGCGUGCGGGAUGACGGCCUUCGGGUUGUAAACCGCUUUCGCCUGUGACGAAGCGUGAGUGACGGUAAUGGGUAAAGAAGCACCGGCUAACUACGUG